GAUGAAGAACGUAGCGAAAUGCGAUACUUGGUGUGAAUUGCAGAAUCCCGCGAAUCAUCGAGUUUUUGAACGCAAGUUGCGCCCGAAGCCAUUCGGCCGAGGGCACGUCUGCCUGGGUGUCACGCAUCGUUGCCCCCCCAGACUCCGGUUCGGGCGGGGCGGAAGUUGGCCUCCCGUGCGUGCCUGCGCGCGCGGUUAGCCCAAAAGCGAGUCCUCGGCGAUGAGCGCCACGACAAUCGGUGGUUUUUUUACCCUCGUUCCUCGUCGUGCGUGCCCCGUCGCCCGAACGCGCUCUUGCAACCCUUACGCGUCGCCUCGGUGGCGCUCCCAACGCGACCCCAGGUCAGGCGGGACUACCCGCUGAGUUUAAGCAUAUCAAUAAGCGGAGGA
rnacentral:misc_RNA from 1 species